GGCAGAAUCCGAGACCAGGGAGAAGAGUCGGUGAAAGAAGAUUGGAAAAAAUUUAAGGACUAUUUACAGAAAUAUUGUAAAAUUAAGGAACUUUAGAAGGAUGUUGGAUAGAAAUUAAGAGGUUUUUAGCUGUAAUGCUUUAAGAGACAUGAAAAAAAAAGGUUAACAAUUGGGUAAAAGAUUAAUGGUAAGGAUUUGCUGAACCAACAAACUGAAUUGGAAUACAAAGAAGGGAGGUAUGAGGAGGUCUGGGGAAAUAAGAGUAAGGAAGAUAGGUUAUGGAACAUCAUUGUGUUUUUAAUUGUUUUAUUUUGUAUGUUUUUUCUUACUUUUUACUUUUUUGCUGUAAUUUAUACUUUUUUCUUUGUUUUCUGUAUUUUUGUGAAACUUUAAUAAAUAUC